UAGGGAAUCUUCCGCAAUGGGCGAAAGCCUGACGGAGCAACGCCGCGUGAGUGAUGAAGGUCUUCGGAUCGUAAAACUCUGUUAUUAGGGAAGAACAAAUGUGUAAGUAACUAUGCACGUCUUGACGGUACCUAAUCAGAAAGCCACGGCUAACUACGUGCCAGCAGCCGCGGUAAUACGUAGGUGGCAAGCGUUAUCCGGAAUUAUUUGGCGUAAAGCGCGCGUAGGCGGUUUUUUAAGUCUGAUGUGAAAGCCCACGGCGCAACCGUGGGGGGUCAUUGGAAACUGGAAAACUUGAGUGCAGAAGAGGAAAAUAGAAGUCCAUGUGUAGCGGUGAAAUGCGGAGAGGUAAGGAGGAACACCAGUGGCGAAGGCGACUUUCUGGUCUGUAACUGACGCUGAUGUGCGAAAGCGUGGAGAUCAAACAGC
rnacentral:rRNA from 1 species